rnacentral:rRNA from 1 species
UACGUAGGUGGCAAGCGUUGUCCGGAUUUACUGGGCGUAAAGAGCGCGCAGGCGGCCAUUCAAGUCAGAUGUGAAAGACCCCGGCUUAACCGGGGCUAGUCGUCUGAAACUGAAUAGCUAGAGUGGCAGAGAGGAAAGCGGAAUUCCCGGUGUAGUGGUGAAAUGCGUUGAGAUCGUGAGGAACGCCCGUGGCGAAAGCGGGCUCCUGGGCCCCGCCUGACGCUGAGACGCGAAAGCCAGGGGAGCGAACGGG